rnacentral:lncRNA from 1 species
UUUUUUUUCUUUCUUUUUCUUUCUUUUGAUUUCUUUUGAUUUUGAUUGAUUUCCUUUUUUUUUGAUUUUGCACCUUCCUCUUUCUCUUUUUUUCUCUUUUUUUUGAUAAUGCCCCAGUUGGCUGUUCUGCUGAUUCUCGAGAUGCAGCUGAGUGUGAUCUUCUUUUCUUGCUCAAGAAAUCGGGAAAUACCGUCAGGAAUCCCUUCAAUCAUCAUCUUCUUCCGCUUCGAAUACAGGGAAUUCAAAAUUGGGAGAUGACGUCCGAUCACUAUGUUCAAUGGGUUUAAGAAACAACCUGCAUAAUGAUUU